rfam:Gossypium hirsutum cultivar TM-1 unplaced genomic scaffold scaffold712.1, whole genome shotgun sequence
AGAGCAAAACUUCAUCCAAUACUACGGUUAAAAACUGCCCUGGCUGACAGAAUAACCAAACGGUUACACGUGAUGUGCCAUGUGUACUUCAUUUUGACAUACGGGGACCCAUUUUUAAUAGUAGAAAUGAAUGAAAUUUUUAACA